rnacentral:lncRNA from 11 species
UGGUUACUUUAUGCAAGUAUUGUUCCUUUGCUUAUAUUUUUAUUUUUUAGAGCAAUUUCACAAUUCCAGCAUUGUUUUAAAAAUGAGAUAUAACAACUUCGGAAUAUUGGGGAGGGUGGAGGAGAAUUCCAUCUCUUGGCAUGAUCUUACUGUAGUGGAAAACAUCAAUCCCACCAAGUACAUUACUUCACAUGCCAAGUUGAGUAUUACAUAUUUGAAUGUUUGCCUGUCUUCCUCAAAAAACAUGUGGAAUAAUGAAAUAUUUUUAUGUCAACCACAAAGUUUCCAAGCUACACAUCUCCCUGAAAGUGAAAUUCUUGCUACUCAGCUCACCUUUAAAAAAGAAAGUCCCAGCAGCAUCUGCCAGACCCCAUGCAAGAUGUUUUGGAUCAUAGAGAUGCAAAAUGGUGGUCAUGACGCCAAGACAUUUGCUGUUGUUGCUCCUUUCAGUGAAAGCAAGGGCAUGUCAGAAAAAAGGAUGCUAAUGAAUAGGUCCAAACAAGUAGCUUUUCAAUGUUCUGGAUACACAUGAACAUCCUGGAAACAAUUAUCAGAGUGGGUUUUGUGCACUCCUUUAAAUGUUGGACAGUAUUAAGAAAUUAAAUUGUUGUUACAUUGCUUCACAAACUAAGAUAGGUAGUAUCAUUUGAUGAAUAGCUUGUGUUUUGUGUACAGAUUGUCCUUUUUGUAUUUGUUCUGUGUCUACAUCUAUAUGUGUAUGUGUGCUCUUAGCUUCAAAAGAGGAAAAACUGGUUUUGUGCAGAGAUACACAUUUUAUACACAAUGUGUUUGGUACACUUUGCAACAACUAGCAGAGGUCUUUUAAGUGAGUCAGUAAAUCCUCAAGGUAUGGUCUUGUUUUUCUGCAGCCCCAUCUACACUGCCAUAUAAUGCAGUUUCAUGGCUGCAUUGAACUGCAUUAUAUGAGUCCACACUGCAUAAUGCAAUUCAAUACAGUUCAACUGCAUUAUGAAACUGCAUUAUAUGGCAGUGUAGAUGGGGCCUGAGAAGUCAAAUUCAACACAUUAACCACAGGAUUUCUAUAUACUCUUAAGUACUAGUCCACCAUUUUGUCUUGACUUAUAUACCUUACCUCAAAGUGUGUUCAGAAGUACUCAUUACAUUGGGCGAGAGUUUGUCUACUGUCUCUUAGAUUAAAAGACAAUAUGAUAAUAUAUUUUCCAUUUUUCUUCCACUAGGGGAAUAUUUUUAAGACUAAUCUAUAACUAUUUUGUAUUCUUAUUCUCAGUGCCCUCUGUGAAGUAUUCAGUGACAUAGUAAUAAUGGGCAUUGAUAGAGUCAUCUUUGAUUGCUUAAGCCUCUUUCAAAGUCUGUCUGACUGUGCAAUCAUUGCCAUACUGUUUAGAAGUGGAAUUGAUAAUUUAAUUACAGGUUCCAUAAGUACCUUGUCAAUUUUUAUAUUUAGGUCUCAGCUGAAACAUAAAACAUGCCAUUGGAAUUAUCGUUAAUCUAACUACUGGUUGUAUCAUUUUGUCUCAAUGAACAUUAGUAUCAAAAUUGUAACACAGCAAUUUAACCAUCCCCAUUAAGUGACAUGAAACUAUUUAUGCUAUUCACACCUUUUCCUUAAUUUCUUUUUGUAUCACAUGCAUAUAAAAUGAAAUAUAUAGUCAGCAUUAUUUCUCAUUUCUUUAUAGCUAGAAAUAUGUGUAGACUUUAAAACUAUCCUCAAUUAGUCAAUUAGUAUUUAGCCAGUCAGAUAUUGAGCUUGCCAAAGCAGUUUCUCCAGUGCCACUAUUGUCUGAAUGUUUGACUUUCUUUAUUAACAGAAAGGUGGGAUAAAAAAAGUAAAUAAUAAUAAUGUUUCCAGUUUUGGCAAUAUGGUUCUUAGUGGUCAACUAGUUUUUAAGCAGUAAAAAAAUGUUUUUUUUUAAGUCUUCUUAUUUUCAAGAUUUGACAUAAAAGCUUUAAUAAUAUCUAGACACAUGAGAAAACUUUACUUGUUUACAUAACAUAAUUUUUAAUGUUUAAAACUUUUUUUAAAAAAUGCAUGUUGAACUAUUAUAAUAAUAAUGAAUACCAUUCAUCGGGAGAAGGCUUUCAUGCUUUUUCAAUGGAUUUCCUCAUAACUUGCCUAAGCCUGUACUGGUCCAAGGUAUUUCGCAGUCUAAGCCAGAGUAUCAAGUGUUCUACUCCUUCCCAAAGUUAUGGUACAUAUUUAUCAAAGGCAAGAAAAUUUAUUCUAACAUCUAAAGAGAAAAAUCCCUCAAACGUCUCUCUUUACAGGAAAAAAAAAUAUUACUAUACUGCCACCACUUCAACUGCCAUUACUACAACUACAGUGAAUAUGCACGCUUUUUAUGAUAUGCCAGAAGCUUCCUAUCUUAUCCUGCCACAUUAAAUGUUCUGGUAACAAAUAAUAAAAUUACACUUCUCUAUUGACUUUUGUAGUGUGUUGCUUCAUACAUAUCAAGAGUAUUGUAUUGGAACACUCAGAAUUGUACAUAGUAUUGUGCUUAGCAAGGGUUUUAAGGACAGCUUGGUUGUGGAUCUCAAGUUCUUGAUAGUCUUCAAGCCUAUAUCUACCAACAGCGCUGAGAGAAGCCUUUUAUUUUUCAGUGAUGUAUCUGGUCCCCAAAAGAUAGCAAGUAGCACUCAUGCUUGACAGUGGCACCCAAUUUCGGCAGGUGUUGUAGAAAUAAGGUCAAAGCUGUGGAAUUCUCUUCCCUGAGAUAUUAGAUCAGCCCCUUCCCUCCUGACCUUCAGAAAGAGAGUGAAAACACGGCUUUGGGAUCAAGCCUUCAGAGAAUAAUUGUAGUGCAAUAGAUGGAUAUGGAAUGAUGUGCAAUGAAUACUGCAAUGCCC